CCAAGAAAGGUGCACCAGAGAAGUACUGCUGUUUUGCUUCCAUUACCACCAAAAGUAGACUUUAAUGUGGCUCUAACCCGUGUUCAGUUGAGUUCCUCCUUAGGUGAGUUUCAGCAGGACUGUAGAUGUCUCUUCUUCCGUUUCAACUCACUCGGCUUCUCAGUAAACCUUUGGGAGUGACGGAGGAGAAAAGUCACAUGUGAAUGAAUCAGAGAAGGAGAGCAAGCCAUAUUGUAAGAGUCACUGUUUUAGCCCUGCUACACUCAUCUUCUGAUGAGGAGGAAGUAGAGUCAGAAGCUUCCAGGGACAAUAUUCCUGCUGCACCCUGGCUCAGCAGAUCCCACAAGCCCUCGGGUCUCCCUGCCGCUACCCCCUGGCAGUCUCUCAGACUCUAAAGUUCACCAACCAACUCCAAGCAGACAAGUCUCUUAAAGAUCCAAAUGCAGAAAGAUUGGCCAAGAGACCAGCUGCAGAAGAACGUCCAUUAGUGACAGACUCUACAUCAGACUUGCAAAUCUUGUGGAAGGGAAAGAGUCGUGCUGAUAAAUAAGGAACACUUGCAGAGCACAAAGAAAUCAGUUGUUCAAAGG